rnacentral:siRNA from 1 species
UCCGACCAUUGGAACUUAGUGUC